rnacentral:misc_RNA from 1 species
UGAAGUUGAAGUGAAAUCUGAUAAUUAUUCUGAAUGUAAAAAAUAAAGAAAUUGCAGCAUUUGCAUUUGCAGUAGAUGAAAGUGCAACCGCAACAGAUUCUAUGUUGGGUCCCUUAUUUCCUUUGAUGAGGGAGGGAAAGGUAGUGUGGGGAUGGACUGGGAACUCUGGACACUCACCAGUGGUUUAUUUGAGUCUUAUACGAGGUCAAAAAUGGAAUUUAAAUGAUACGCUCUCACAACAAUAGCACCAAACACCAAUCUAGCACGGUUGUAUUAUUAAUCCUUACCCACUUUCAGUAAUACUAUCUUCUCG